rnacentral:lncRNA from 1 species
CAUGAUCUACGGCACACACAAUCGGGCACACAAUAAAUAAAAGAAAAAUUAAAGCUUUACCCGUUGAGCUCGAACACAGAACGCGAACGGAAAAUAGAAAGAAUGAGUAUUUUCAUGAAAUUAGGAGAUGACUUGACGGAAGUAUAUUGGAGGAUGCCGUGGUCGAAUUUGGGAUUAAUUGGAGGAAGUUUGGCGCAUGAAAUGACGUGAUAACUGGGUGUUUAGGGGUUAAAACAGGGUUUAGGGGCUUAACUCCGAGGAAACAUGGACUUGUUCGUAAAUAUUUAUGGAAGGUGGAAGGGUUGUUCUGUAAAAGGAGUAUGAGAGAGGUGGGAGGGCUAUUUUGUGAAUAGGGGGUAGUAGGGGGGUUAGAUCGAAAUGAGGAGUUUUCUUCUUCUCCUUCCUCGGUUCAGGAACAGAGAAGGUGGGGGAGGAGAUGGCUGGCAGCGGACAGCCAGCCAGGCCUCGCCGGCGGCGAGCUGAGUGGCUGGGGAGGUAGAGGAGGGUGAGGGGAACCCGUUUUGCCCCUUACCUUGAUGAUUCGGCGAUGGGAAGGGGGCGGCCGGCGGUGGAUAGGAGGCGGCGGUGGUGUGCUUGGCGGCGCGCAGGAGCGGGGUGGUGGCGCCUUGGCGCGGGAGGGAGCAAGAAGAGGGCGGCGAGCUUGUGGGUGGCGAGGAAGGCCAGGGC